GCCGGAAGUGGCUGAGCCCGAGCUGCCGAGAAAAGCCUCUAGCGAGGUAUGCGUGACCGUACCGCAAACCGACACAGGUAGAUGGGUAGAGAAUACCAAGGCGAACGGGAGAACCCUUGUUAAGGAAUUAGGCAAAUUAAGUCCGUAACUUAGGGAAAAGGACUGCCACUGGUUGUGAGGGCGACUAGCUUGUCUGAGCGAUUGGUGGUCGCAGCGAAAUGGCUCUGCCGACUGUUUAACAAAAACACAGGUCUCUGCGAAAGCGAAAGCUGACGUAUAGGGGCUGACGCCUGCCCAGUGCCGGAAGGUUAAGGGGAGAGGUGAUGAGCUUUGAACCGAAGCCCCGGUGAACGGCGGCCGUAACUAUAACGGUCCUAAGGUAGCGAAAUUCCUUGUCGGGUAAGUUCCGACCCGCACGAAAGGCGUAACGAGCAGAGCACUGUCUCAACAAGGGACCCGGCGAAGUUGAAAUAGCGGUGAAGAUGCCGUUUACCCGCAGCAGGACAAAAAGACCCCGUGGAGCUUUACUGUAGCUUGACAUUGAGUUAGGGCUUUGUCUGUGUAGGAUAGGUGGGAGGCUAAGAAGCUGGUCCGCUAGGAUCGGUGGAGUCGACGUUGAAAUACCACCCUGAUGGAGUCUUGGCUCUAACCUGUGGCCCUGAUCGGGCAUGGGGACAGUGUCUGGUAGGCAGUUUGACUGGGGCGGUCGCCUCCUAAAGAGUAACGGAGGCGCCCAAAGGUACCCUCAGGCUGAAUGGAAACCAGCCGUAGAGUGUAAAGGCAUAAGGGAGCUUGACUGCGAGACAAACAAGUCGAGCAGAGACGAAAGUCGGGCCUAGUGAUCCUACGGUUCCGAGUGGAAGGGCCGUGGCUUAACGGACAAAAGCUACCCCGGGGAUAACAGGCUGAUCUCCUCCAAGAGUUCACAUCGACGAGGAGGUUUAGCACCUCGAUGUCGGCUCGUCGCAUCCUGGGGCUGAAGUAGGUCCCAAGGGUCCGGCUGUUCGCCGGUUAAAGCGGUACGCGAGCUGGGUUCAGACCGUCGUGAGACAGGUCGGUCUCUAUCCGCUGUGGGCGAAGGGGAUUUGGGAGGGGCUGCCCCUAGUACGAGAGGACCGGGGUGGACAGACCGCUGGUGUACCAGUUGUCUCGCCAGAGGCAUUGCUGGGUAGCAAGUCUGGCAGCGAUAACCGCUGAAAGCAUCUAAGUGGGAAACGCGCCUCAAGAUGAGAUCCCCCACUGUAAAAGGGUAAGUGCACCGGGAGACUACCGGUUAGAUAGGCGGCAGGUGUACGCACUGUGAGGUGUUGAGCCGAGCCGUACUAAUGCACGAGGACUUAAUCC
rnacentral:rRNA from 1 species